UACGUAGGGUGCAAGCGUUAAUCGGAAUUAUUGGGCGUAAAGGGCUCGUAGGCGGUUCGUCACGUCGGGAGUGAAAACUCGGGGCUUAACCCCGAGCCUGCUUCCGAUACGGGCAGACUAGAGGUAGGCAGGGGAGAGCGGAACUCCUGGUGUAGCGGUGGAAUGCGCAGAUAUCAGGAGGAACACCGGUGGCGAAGGCGGUUCUCUGGGCAUUACCUGACGCUGAGGAGCGAAAGCAUGGGGAGCGAACAGG
rnacentral:rRNA from 1 species